rnacentral:ncRNA from 2 species
GGUCCCGGCCGUGACUGGCGUACCUGAGGUGGGCUGAACCACCGGGGAGCGGCCGGAACCACCAACCGUCGCACCGUUCGCCUGGGUGCUCGGG